rnacentral:rRNA from 1 species
AUCUGCUCAGAACGAACGCUGGCGGCAGGCUUCCACAUGCAAGUCGUGGGGCAGCAGGGGUAGCAAUACCCGCUGGCGACCGGCAAACGGGUGCGGAACACGUACGCAAUCUACCUUUGUCUGGGGUAUAGCCCGGAGAAAUCCGGAUUAAUACCCCGUAACAUAAUGGAGUGGCAUCACUUUAUUAUUAAAGCUCCGGCGCUGGAAGAUGGGUGUGCGGCUGAUUAGGUAGUUGGCGGGGUAAUGGCCCACCAAGCCUACGAUCAGUAACUGGUGUGAGAGCACGACCAGUCACACGGGCACUGAGACACGGGCCCGACUCCUACGGGAGGCAGCAGU